GAAUUUAUUCUGAUGGCAGGCAAGCCGAGGAGGCAUCAGUGUGGAUACAGAGAGGAAUGGACUGCAGGUGUGGAGUCGGCUGACUUUAGCUGACGUCAGCAUAGAUGACACAGGCCGCUACACUUGUAAACCGCUGCAUGCCCCACCAGCUGUUGUCACCCUUGUCGUUGUCGAGGGCGAAACAAUGGGAGCAAUGCAUGAGAACAGAGACAACCAUAUUUCACAAGCAUCCUAUGCAGAAUCAACUAUGUCACUACUUGGGUUAACGAUCCUCUUGAUAUUCAGUGUGACCUGGAUUUGAACGAUCUUCAAUCAUUUGAGACAUAUCUUGAAAUUUGAUAAUUUUCCCUCUCUAUAUCAUUUUGAUGUUGAAACGUUCGUUCAAUGAUAAUAAUGAGGAAGAGAAGAAGAAGGAGUGGAAGAAAAAGAAGGAGAAGAUAAUCAAUAAAUACUUUUCAAAACGA